UACGGAGGGUGCAAGCGUUGUUCGGAAUUAUUGGGCGUAAAGGGCAGGUAGGUGGUCUUGCAAGUCUGCUGUGAAAUCCCCGGGCUCAACCUGGGAAUGGCGAUGGAUACUGGCUCGCUAGAGUGCGGUAGAGGAGAGUGGAAUUCCCGGUGUAGCAGUGAAAUGCGUAGAGAUCGGGAGGAACAUCAGUUGCGAAGGCGGCUCUCUGGACCAGCACUGACACUGAGGCACGAAAGCGUGGGGAGCAAACAGG
rnacentral:rRNA from 1 species